AUUGAACGCUGGCGGCAGGCCUAACACAUGCAAGUCGAACGAGUGGCGGACGGGUGCGUAAUGUCUGGGAAACUGCCUGAUGGAGGGGGAUAACUACUGGAAACGGUAUCUAAUACCGCAUACCAUCGGUCGGGCACAGAUGGGAUUAGCUAGUAGGUGGGGUAAAGGCACACCUAGGCGACGAUCCCUAGCUGGUCUGAGAGGAGGACCAGCCACACUGGAACUGAGACACGGUCCAGACUCCUACUGGAGGCAGCAGUGGGGAAUAUUGCACAAUGGGCGCAAGCCUGAUGCAGCCAUGCCGCGUGUAUGAAGAAGGCCUUCGGGUUGUAAAGUACUUUAAGCGGGGAGGCGUUACCCACAGAAUAAGCACCGGCGAACUUCGUGCCAGCAGCCGCGGUAAUUC
rnacentral:rRNA from 1 species